rnacentral:lncRNA from 1 species
CUCGUUCCUGAAGUAGUAGGCCAGUGCUUGGUUUGUUAAUGAAAUGCUUGUGGUUUGAAGCAUGAUAUUGAUUGUGGUUUCUGAGCUGCCACUGUAUAAAACCUUGCCAUUUCUGAAGUUUACCCCUCCCUGCACCCUGUGAAGAGGGAAAUAUAAGUAAUGGAAUGCUAAAUGCUACUAAUUUAUAUCUCACAGCGUAGAUUUAAACAUGCAAAGGUCGUGUUUUAUCCAAAUGGUUAAUUAGUUUAAAUUUGGAAUUGUAGUACUAGUGUUUAAGAAAGUUGGGAAUCCGGUCGAGUAAUAGUUAAAAAUUUGAGAAAAACAAGGAAAAUGCUGAAGGAAUAUGUCCAUAAUUACUAACGUUUCUCCAUGAACAAAUAAUACUCCAGAGGAGUACUAUAUAUUUUUUGUUAAAAAUCUCAUACCUAUCCCUUGUAUAUCCUGUAACCUGAAGUUCAAUUUUGCUCGAUUCAUGUUGAAAUAUGAAAUUUGCUCUUUUUUAUUCAUGCAUAAUACUCAAGUUGUCAACAUGUUCUUUCGCAACAUUUAUCCACAAAAUGAAAUGUGUAGCAUCAUUUCAUUUCAGGACUUCCUGAGGCUGUGCUUCAAAGAGCUGC